GACGAACGCUGGCGGCGUGCUUAACACAUGCAAGUCGAACGGAAAGGCCCUGCUUUUGUGGGUUUCUCGAUUGGCGAACGGGUGAGUAACACGUGAGUAACCUGCCCUUGUCUUUGUGAUAACUUCAGGAAACUGGGGCUAAUACCGGAUAUGAUCUCCUGCUCCAUGGUGGGGGUUGGAAAGUUUCGGCGGUUGGGGAUGGACUCGCUGCUUAUCAGCUGGUUUGUGGGGUAGUUGCUUACCAAGGCUUUGACGGGUAGCCGGCCUGGGAGGGUGACCAGGGACCAUGGGACUGAGAUACGGACCAGUCGCCAACGGGAGGCAGCAGUGGGGAAUCUUGCACAAUGGGCGGACGCCUGAUGCAGAAACGCCGCGUGCGGGAUGACGGCUUUCGGGUUGUAAACCGAUUUCGCAUGUGACGAAGAGUGAGUGACGGUAAUGAGUAAAGAAGCAACGGCUAACUACGUG
rnacentral:rRNA from 1 species